rnacentral:rRNA from 1 species
CAGCAGCCGCGGUAAUACGGAGGGUGCAAGCGUUAAUCGGAAUUACUGGGCGUAAAGCGUGCGUAGGCGGUUCGUUAAGUCUGUUGUGAAAGCCCCGGGCUCAACCUGGGAAUGGCAAUGGAUACUGGCGAGCUAGAGUGUGUCAGAGGAUGGUGGAAUUCCCGGUGUAGCGGUGAAAUGCGUAGAGAUCGGGAGGAACAUCAGUGGCGAAGGCGGCCAUCUGGGACAACACUGACGCUGAGGCACGAAAGCGUGGGGAGCAAACAGGAUUAGAUACCCCGGUAGUCCCUGUCUCUUAUAC